rnacentral:rRNA from 1 species
AGCGAACGUUUGCGGCGGGCCUAACACAUGCAAGUCGAACGCACUAGCAAUAGUGAGUGGCGCACGGGUGCGUAACACGUGGGUAAUCAACCCUUCAGCCUGGGAUAACGACUCGAAAGGGUCGCUAAUACCGGAUACGGCGCGAGAGGCUUCGGCUUCUCACGAGAAAGCCACGCAAGGGGCACUGAAGGACGAGCCUGCGGCCCAUCAGCUAGUUGGUGAGGUAAGAGCUCACCAAGGCUAAGACGGGUAGCUGGUCUGAGAGGAUGAUCAGCCACACUGGAACUGAGACACGGUCCAGACUCCUACGGGAGGCAGCAGUGGGGAAUAUUGCGCAAUGGGCGAAAGCCUGACGCAGCCACGCCGCGUGAGCGAUGAAGGCC